rnacentral:rRNA from 1 species
AUGGCAACUCACGGAGCGCGUCGUCAAUCCGGGAAGAUGCAACCCGGCUGUCGCCGCCUGCUGCUUGCUCGGCUUCUCGCCCUCCUCGCGCUGCUGCUGCUAAUCGUCGGUGUGCAUGGCCGUAUAGGAGGGGGCUGCGGUAGUCGUAAAGAACCCAAACGGCUGCACAGGUCUGCCCCCUCCAGAGUGUCCAGGCUGUGGAUAGCAGCAGGUCUCACUCCGAAGCAUAUGCCCACGCCGAUGGCAUCUCAGGAUGUUGUGUAUCGUUCUACAAUAGUUGAUUUUGUUUCUGUAUGGUAUAAGAGAGAUAUGAAGGUCACAAUCUUUUCCUUACUUACGGAAUGUUAA